rnacentral:rRNA from 1 species
GACGAACGCUGGCGGCGUGCUUAACACAUGCAAGUCGAACGAUGAAGCCGGAGCUUGCUCUGGUGAAUUAGUGGCGAACGGGUGAGUAACACGUGAGUAGCCUGCCCUUGACUCUGGGAUAACUGCGGGAAACUGUAGCUAAUACCGGAUACGACCCUCGGAGGCAUCUCCUGGGGGUGGAAAGAAUUUCGGUCAAGGAUGGAGUCGCGGCCUAUCAGCUAGUUGGUGAGGUAAAGGCUCACCAAGGCGACGACGGGUAGCCGGCCUGAGAGGGUGACCGGCCACACUGGGACUGAGACACGGCCCAGACUCCUACGGGAGGCAGCAGUGGGGAAUAUUGAACAAUGGGCGCAAGCCUGAUGCAGCAACGCCGCGUGAGGGAUGACGGCCUUCGGGUUGUAAACCUCUUUUAGCAGGGAAGAAGCGAAAGUGACGGUACCUGCAGAAAAAGCACCGGCUAACUACGUGCCAGCCGCCGCGGUAA